UACGUAGGGGGCAAGCGUUGUCCGGAUUUAUUGGGCGUAAAGAGCGUGUAGGCGGCUUGGUAGGUCUGCUGUGAAAACUCGGGGCUCAACCCCGAGACGUCGGUGGAAACCACCUGGCUAGAGUCCGGAAGAGGAGAGUGGAAUUCCUGGUGUAGCGGUGAAAUGCGCAGAUAUCAGGAAGAACACCCGUGGCGAAGGCGGCAUCCUGGACCAACACUGACGCUGAGGAGCGAAAGCCAGGGGAGCAAACGGG
rnacentral:rRNA from 1 species